GUGGCACAACAAAGGGUAAAAUGGUCCAUUACAGACUGAAAAGCUCUCGCACGUGUCCACAUGACACAACCUUUAUUUACAAGCCUAAAGAGGCCACCACCCCACUAAAAUGGGACUUAUAAGCCUUCGGCUGCCCCUCUACACACUGUACAAGGCAUGAACAUGCCAACAGACACGGACAGAUAUAAGCAUUACAUCAAACACCUUGUUUAGAAGUUUGUCCGUGACAUUCUCCCCCACUUAUCCCUUCGACGU
rnacentral:lncRNA from 1 species